CCCAGUCUCACUCCAGCCUUCCACUGACCCUGGUCUUUCCUCUUCCCUCCCGCAGGCCUCUGCACUGAGGUUUACUACUUCACCGCCGGACAAAUCCUCUGGGGGGGACUGGCCCUGGCUGCACUGCUGCCCGGCUGCUUGGUGCAGGGCCUGAGCUUUCUGUGGUUCCGAGCAAAUGGACAUCAAGGUCAUUGCUUGUUGGUCAUGCUGCACGGCCUACAGCUUGGCGUGUGGAAGCGGAUCUUCGCUGGCACAGCAGGGCGGUGGUCCCAAGGUGAGCACAGAAGCAUCCAGCUGGCGUUUACCAUGCGGGGCCUCUGCUUCGUGCUCCUGACCUGCUUCAUCCUUUUUCCUCACUUUGCCACAGCCCAGGUCCAGGUUGUAGACUCAGAGAAGGAGUGCAAUAAAAGAGAGGCCGAGUGUAAAUGGUUUUACUGCCCAGAAAAUCAUGACCGUCUUGGCACCUGUUGGUUUGGGAUAAAGAAAUGCUGUCUGCGCCAGGAAUGAGCUGAAGAACAUGGGAGGACAAGGAGCCCGGAGAAUGAAAUAAAGGCCUGACUGUAACUCUGAAAGUGCUGUGGUAUUAUUUCCCAAAAGUAAAGAAAUGACCUGUGCUGUAUUUGAAAAAAGUGAUUAUUACAUGUGACGGUGUCUGGGAGAGACGUGUGUGUGGAAGCAGAGAGGGAACUGAGGCGUGCAAGGCGGGCCUAGGAGAGGGGAGGCCUGGCGUGCCUGAGAUGGGAGAUGCUUUUACAUGGAAAUGUUGGAGUUUCAGGUGUGUGCUGGAAGAGGGGAUUCAAGAUCCCU
rnacentral:lncRNA from 1 species